rnacentral:rRNA from 1 species
UACGGAGGGGGGCUAGCGUUGUUCGGAAUUACUGGGCGUAAAGCGCACGUAGGCGGCUUUGCAAGUUAGAGGUGAAAGCCCGGGGCUCAACUCCGGAAUUGCCUUUAAAACUGCAUCGCUAGAAUUGUGGAGAGGUAAGUGGAAUUCCCAGUGUAGAGGUGAAAUUCGUAGAUAUUGGGAAGAACACCGGUGGCGAAGGCGGCGACCUGGUCCUUGACUGACGCUGAGGCGCGAAAGCGUGGGGAGCAAACAGG